AAGACAAAACUGACCCAGAGGUAAAUGUCCACUGCCUUGAUGUAAGAGACGCGCGGCAUCGAGGCGUUGACCCCGGUGAUGAUGGUGGACAUGGUCAGCACUGUGGUGAUGCCUGGAGGGAAAGAAAACAGUGUCUUCGUACUACAUUUCCUGUUUCCUUUCACCCUUCUGAGACACAACAUAAAGCCCACCUAGCGGCACCCUGGCGGGGACGGCUCUGCGGUCGAUCCAGAAGGAAACCCAGGACAGCAUGACCAUCAGAGUGGCAGGAAAAUAGGUCUGCAGCAGGAAAAAGAAGAUGUGCCGCCGCAGGGUGAAGUGGAUGUACAAACGAUUGUACCAGCCUGCGGGGUGGGAACAGAGUCACUGUUACAGUUCGACUGUCACUUGGAGCCUGAAAGCCAACUUUGUGGUGGUGUGAAACUUCUGGAUGAGAAACUGGGACAGAGAUAUCCUGUCGUCAGUGUUCAGAGAUUCAUUUCCCUUCUUCCAGUACAACAUCAGGUCGUCGUCC